rnacentral:lncRNA from 1 species
GACCUUAGAGCUGGGGCAGUCAGAAGCGACCCCAACUCCCCUGGUGGCUUGUUUCAUAGUGGCCAGAGGCCCUUAGGCUGUGCUGUGCUGGGGAGCGGCAGGGCCUAUUCCUCUUCCUUAGGAAUAAGCACCCUCAGGGGUCCCACUGUGCUCAGGUAGAAUAAUGACGGUACUCACACUUGGGAGUUGUGUGAUCAUCGAGAGAAAGGCCAAGUGGACCGGACCGAAGGAGAAAAGAAGACCCAGGUAGACUUGAAUCUUUACUUACAGAAAAGCGACAGAGCCAGAGGCCCACCAGUGUAGGGGGCUUCAGCAGGGUACCUGGCGGCGGGAGCACAAACACGGAAUGGGGGGCAUUGGGCGAUGCGCUGGUCACAGGAGCUGGCUGGGGAGGCCUGGGCGUGACCUCCGCGAGUCUUCCAGCCCCUAGCGAGGCGCUCGCACCUACCCUGGCCGCUGGCAGCGACGUGGCCAUCACAGGGGGGCCUGGGACGCCGCGCCUCCUGCUGCCUUCAGCGAGUCUUCCUUCUGUCCCGCGGCCGAGGGCUUCCCUGGAGGCUCGGUGCCCGCUGCCCCUGCGGCCGGCACGGCCACCGCGGCGGGGGUGGGACCCUUGUGCUCCUCUUUGGAGGAGCGGUAGCUGCCCCCCCAGGCCGCGGGCAUCACCGUGCCGUGCUUGCGGCUCAGCGGAUAGGCCCCGAUGGCUGCCAGGAUGCUGCGGUGGCGCUCAGGGUCCAUCUCGGUGUAAUACAUCUCGAGAGUGAGCGGAGUGCAGAUCUUGUGCUACAGUAGGGGCAGGUCCGGGAGGGCGAGGAAAGUGGAAGGACGCAGAGGGGACCCGAGUGAAGGAAGGGGAGAAAGUAGGGAGUUAACUAAAUAGCCACAAACCCACCCCUGGAGUCAGAGGGCAACAGCCCCUAGGCUCCUAGGCGACCGCAGGACUGCAGGAAGGGGAGGGAGCUGCCAGUGAGGUGCAGCCUAGAACCCUGCUGAGUGGAACCCUGGAAAGUUCACUCAUCCCAGUGUGGUGGGGCAUGCCUGCUAUCCCAGCACUGGGGAGGAGGAUGGAUGUGAACUGGAGGUCAGCCUGGUCUAAAAAUCCCGCCCGCCCCCCCUCACGGCCUCCAUGGGCACUUCCAUCCCAGAAACCAGGGUGUUAAGGAAAAAGCAGAGAUACUACUUCUGAAAAAAAUGAAGAGCUUUAAAAAAAUACAUUAGGGGCUGGGGAGAUGGCUCAGCGGUUAAGAACACUGGCUGUUCUUGCAGAAGACCCAGGUUCGAAUCCCAGCACCCACAUGGCAGCUAACAACUGCCCAGGGGAUCGACAGCUUCUUCUGUCCUCCGCGGGCAUUGUACAGCACGGGUGCACUUACUUACACGCAGGCACAACACUCAUUCACAUAAAUAAAAAAAUAAAUUAAAUAUUUAAAAA